UCUAAUGUGGCAGAUUAGUGCAAUGGAUUUAAACCCCAUAAAUAAAGCCUCCUUUCUUUAGAA
rnacentral:tRNA from 1 species